GCGGCGUACGGGUGCGGAACACGUUGCACUGCCUUUAUCUGGGGGAUAGUCUUUCGAAAGGAAGAUUAAUACCCCAUAAUAUGUUGAAUGGCAUCAUUCGACAUUGAAAACUCCGGUGGAUAGAGAUGGGCACGCGCAAGAUUAGAUAGUUGGUGAGGUAACGGCUCACCAAGUCUACGAUCUUUAGGGGCCUGAGAGGGUGAUCCCCCACACUGGUACUGAGACACGGACCAGACUCCUACGGGAGGCAGCAGUGAGGAAUAUUGGACAAUGGGUGAGAGCCUGAUCCAGCCAUCCCGCGUGAAGGACGACUGCCCUAUGGGUUGUAACUUCUUUUGUAUAGGGAUAAACCUACCCUCGUGAGGGUACUGAAGGUACUAUACGAAUAAGCACCGGUUAAACUCCCGUGGCCAAGCAGGCCGGCGGGUAAAUACGGGAGGGGUGCAAGCGUUAUCCCGGGGAAUUUAAUUGGGGGUUUAAAAGGGGUCCCGUAAGGGCGGGGUCCUGGAAAGUCCAGUGGGGUGGAAAUUCUUCACCAAGUUUUAAUGGUGGAAAACUUGGGCCAUUUGAUAACUGGACGGUCUUGAAAUUGGUUGGUUG
rnacentral:rRNA from 1 species